AACGAACGCUGGCGGCAUGCCUAACACAUGCAAGUCGAACGGUAAGUUGAGUAGCAAUACUUAGCCAAGAGUGUCGUACGGGUGCGUAACACGUAUGCAACCUACCCUAUACAGGAGGAUAGCCUAGGGAAACCUGGAUUAACCCUUCAUAGUAUUAUUGGAUGGCAUCAUUUGAUAAUUAAAACUGAGGUGGUACAGGAUGAGCAUGCGUCUGAUUAGCUAGUUGGUAGUGUAAUGGACUACCAAGGCAAUGAUCAGUAGGGGAACUGAGAGGUUGAUCCCCCACACUGGCACUGAGAUACGGGCCAGACUCCUACGGGAGGCAGCAGUAGGGAAUAUUGGACAAUGGGUGAGAGCCUGAUCCAGCCAUGCCGCGUGCAGGAAGAAGGCCUUCUGGGUUGUAAACUGCCUUUAUCUGGGGAUAAAAAGGCCUUGCGAGGCAAACUGAAGGUACCAGAUGAAUAAGCCACGGCUAACUACGUGCCAGCAGCCG
rnacentral:rRNA from 1 species